UACGAGGGGUGCAAACGUUAUUCGGAAUUACUGGGUGUAAAGGGUACGUAGACGGCACUUCAAGUCAAUUGUUAAAUUCCCCAGCUUAACUGGGGGUAGGCGGUUGAAACUGAAGAGCUAGAGGAUGGAAGAGAGAAGUGGAAUUCUCGGAGUAGCGGUAAAAUGCGUAGAUCUCGAGAGGAACACCGAUGGCGAAGGCAGCUUCUUGGUCCAUUUCUGACGUUGAGGUACGAAAGCGUGGGGAGCAAACAGG
rnacentral:rRNA from 1 species